ACCAAUCAAACACGUUCCACCUUUUUGCCGUGAAACGUGUUUGAUUGGGCA
rnacentral:pre_miRNA from 1 species